UGAGGAAUAUUGGUCAAUGGGCGCAAGCCUGAACCAGCCAUGCCGCGUGCAGGAUGAAGCAUCUAUGGUGUGUAAACUGCUUUUGUACGGGAAGAAACCCCGCCUCGUGAGGCGGAUUGACGGUACCGUAAGAAUAAGGAUCGGCUAACUCCGUGCCAGCAGCCGCGGUAAUACGGAGGAUCCAAGCGUUAUCCGGAAUCAUUGGGUUUAAAGGGUCCGUAGGCGGCCUUAUAAGUCAGUGGUGAAAUCUCCCCGCUCAACGGGGAAACUGCCAUUGAUACUGUAGGGCUUGAAUUAUUGUGAAGUAACCAGAAUAUGUAGUGUAGCGGUGAAAUGCUUAGAGAUUACAUGGAAUACCGAUUGCGAAGGCAGGUUACUAACGGUUAAUUGACGCUGAUGGACGAAAGCGUGGGUAGCGAACAG
rnacentral:rRNA from 1 species